ACUUAAAUAGCUUAUAGUAAGAGCUUAAUAUUGAAGAUAUUAAGGAGGCAGACAUGUCUUUGAGUA
rnacentral:tRNA from 1 species